AUGGAGAGAUAUCUACUACUAAUUGUCAUUACAGUAUCAGGAGUAUUUCCUGACAGCAUUGGACCAAAAAACAAGGACGCUAUAAUCAAUAAAGAAGGAGAGUCUGUGACACUGAGCUGCUCAUACAGUACAAUCAGCAAUGAUGUUUAUCUUUACUGGUACAAACAGUAUCCCGACACAGAACCUCAGUAUUUACUGUGGAAAGGUGCUCGAUCAUGGAACACUGAAGAAGAUAUACCAGACCAACGCUUUCAGUCAACUACAUCCCAAUCAUCCACUGAACUCACUAUUAAGAGUGUAACUCUGUCAGAUUCAGCUCUCUAUUACUGUGCUCUAAGAGUAGCAGCCCAGUGA